rnacentral:sRNA from 1 species
CGCAUGCGCCCGCCGCCC